rnacentral:rRNA from 1 species
CACGUAGGGGGCGGGCGUUGUCCGGAUUUAUUGGGCGUAAAGAGCUCGUAGGCGGCUCAGUAAGUCAGGUGUGAAAACUCCAGGCUCAACCUGGAGACGCCACCUGAUACUGCUGUGGCUAGAGUCCGGUAGGGGAGCAUGGAAUUCCUGGUGUAGCGGUGAAAUGCGCAGAUAUCAGGAGGAACACCAGUGGCGAAGGCGGUGCUCUGGGCAUUACCUGACGCUGAGGAGCGAAAGUGUGGGGAGCAAACAGG